GCCUGUCUCCAUGGCUUAGUCGGGAGAACUCCAUACUAUGAUUCAGUAGGAUUCGGGUUCGAGCCCCAGUGUAGGCA